AUCGAACGCUGGCGGCAGGCCUAACACAUGCAAGUCGAGCGAGCGGCGGACGGGUGAGUAAUUUCUGGGAAACUGCCUGAUGGAGGGGGAUAACUACUGGAAACGGUAGAUAAUACCGCAUACCAUCAGAUGUGCCCACAUGGGAUUAGCGAGUAGGUGAGGUAAUGGCUCAUCUAGGCGACGAUCCCUAGCUGGUCUGAGAGGAUGACCAGCCACACUGGAACUGAGACACGGUCCAGACUCCUACGGGAGGCAGCAGUGGGGAAUAUUGCACAAUGGGCGCAAGCCUGAUGCAGCCAUGCCGCGUGUGUGAAGAAGGCCUUCGGGUUGUAAAGCACUGUCAUCGAGGAGGCGUUACUCGACGAAGAAGCACCGGCUAACUCCGUGCCAGCCGCCGCGGUAAUAC
rnacentral:rRNA from 1 species